UACGAAGGGGGCUAGCGUUGUUCGGAUUUACUGGGCGUAAAGCGCACGUAGGCGGAUCGUUAAGUCGGGGGGUGAAAUCCUGGAGCUCAACUCCAGAACUGCCUUCGAUACUGGCGAUCUUGAGUCCGGAAGAGGUGAGUGGAACUCCUAGUGUAGAGGUGGAAUUCGUAGAUAUUAGGAAGAACACCAGUGGCGAAGGCGGCUCACUGGUCCGGUACUGACGCUGAGGUGCGAAAGCGUGGGGAGCAAACAGG
rnacentral:rRNA from 1 species